UGGGGAAUAUUGGACAAUGGCGAAAGCCUGAUCCAGCCAUGCCGCGUGUGUGAAGAAGGUCUUCGGAUUGUAAAGCACUUUAAGUUGGGAGGAAGGGCAUUAACCGAAUACGUUGGUGUCUUGACGUUACCGACAGAAUAAGCAUCGGCUAACUCUGUGCCAGCAGUCGCGGUAAUACAGAGGGUGCAAGCGUUAAUCGGAAUUACUGGGCGUAAAGCGCGCGUAGGUGGUUCGUUAAGUUGGAUGUGAAAUCCCCGGGCUCAACCUGGGAACUGCAUCCAAAACUGGCAGGCUAGAGUAUGGUAGAGGGUAGUGGAAUUCCCUGUGUAGCGGUGAAAUGCGUAGAUAUAGGAAGGAACACCAGUGGCGAAGGCGACUACCUGGACUGAUACUGACACUGAGGUGCGAAAGCGUGGGGAGCAAACA
rnacentral:rRNA from 1 species